rnacentral:lncRNA from 1 species
UUUAGGCGAUUUUUCCCAAGAGGUGGCUUCAACUGUCCAUAUGUUGCUCUCCAACAUGCCUUCCACGGUCUCAGGUUUUGCUGUUACUACAGAUCCAUGUGUCGAUUGACGAUUGUAAAUGUAGAACGUCCCUGAGGUUUGCCUCUUAGGAUCCAACAAAGAUAUGCAUACAGACAAUGAAUUAACUAAAACUGAUUUUGGCCGUGA